rnacentral:ncRNA from 1 species
GAACGCCGUAUGAGGGGAAACUCUCACGUACGGUGUGGGGGAGGGUUGCGCCUUGC